UGGGGAAUAUUGCACAAUGGGCGAAAGCCUGAUGCAGCAACGCCGCGUGAGGGACGACGGCCUUCGGGUUGUAAACCUCUUUUAGCAAGGAAGAAGCGAAAGUGACGGUACUUGCAGAAAAAGCGCCGGCUAACUACGUGCCAGCAGCCGCGGUAAUACGUAGGGCGCAAGCGUUAUCCGGAAUUAUUGGGCGUAAAGAGCUCGUAGGCGGUUUGUCGCGUCUGCUGUGAAAACCCGAGGCUCAACCUCGGGCCUGCAGUGGGUACGGGCAGACUAGAGUGCGGUAGGGGAGAUUGGAACUCCNUGGUGUAGCGGUGGAAUGCGCAGAUAUCAGGAAGAACACCGAUGGCGAAGGCAGAUCUCUGGGCCGUAACUGACGCUGAGGAGCGAAAGGGUGGGGAGCAAACAGGCUUAGAUACCCUGGUAGUCCACCCCGUAAACGUUGGGAACUAGUUGUGGGGUCCAUUCCACGGAUUCCGUGACGCAGCUAACGCAUUAAGUUCCCCGCCUGGGGAGUACGGCCGCAAGGCUAAAACUC
rnacentral:rRNA from 1 species